rnacentral:lncRNA from 10 species
UGUAUAUACACACAGGCUCUCCCUCCGCCACUUCUCCCACAGCCAAAGUGGAAGAUCAACAGUGCAAGGCACAGAGGCAGAGCAUUUAAGGAAAACACCAGCUCUUAGUUUUCUUUCUGCCCCUGACCACAGCUCAGCACUACUCUGGCUCUGAGCCUCUGGCCUGCCUCACACACAUAGUUACACCUGGGAUGCAAAAGCAAAGGACGAUGGUAACUUUUGAGACGCACACUCAGGAAAUGAUCUUAGACCUGCCCUUACAAAUGCCUGGGUGAAAAUGAUGUCUUACAAAGACUUUCAUGGCUAAAACCAACCUAUGUACAUAACCCGAUUUUUGGCAUUUGUUGGAUUGAGACGUGAUCAUCUUAUUCCUGGGGAACACACCACUGCAACUUAGCAGUCUGUUUUUCAAAGACAGUUAUCGGGUGAAACACACCAGUUAUCUUGCCUGCCAAAAUCAUUUGCUCAGAGAUUAUCCUCCCAAUGGAAUGGAGCUCAAAUCAAUCAAAAUCUUUGGGGGUGGAGGAAUAAUGAGAAAAUAUAGCAUGACAUUUUGACCAUUAAGCCUAUGAUAUAAAUAUCUCUAAAAUAUUGGGGGCUUUUUCAUUCCAGUAUUCCUAGCAAAACCAAGGUCUUAGAAUUUACAUUUAGCCCCUGCUGUGUAUAAAGCUAGAUUUAAUUUACUUAUUUUGGUAGGUAUUGGUAAUCGUUAUAGAUAUACCUUUUUCUUAUAAUUCUGGUAGUUUGUAAUUUAGUUCAUAAGUCACACAGCCAAACCAAGUGCUCACAUUGUAACAUCAUGGAACAAAAAUUACUGAAUUUUCUAAGCUCAUUACUGAUACUAAUCUUCAUGAAUACUAUAUCGAGAUCCAGAAGACAGAGAGAGGUAAAGAGAGAGAGAGGAGAAAGAGAGAGAAAGAGAGAGAGAGAUUUUUAUGUAUAAAGAGUAAAUUUUGCAUUCUUUGACAUUUAAAAGAAUAGUUGCAGUAUUUAUGUCCAUAGUAUGCUUCAAAUCAGAAGGCUCUUUGAGGAAAACUCAGAAGUGACAUUUACUUAUUUGUACUUUUAAGUUCUGUAGCUUACACAGAUGAUGCAUAAUUCAUGCCAGAAAGCAUUUGGCUCAACAGAAACUAAUUUAGUUUAUCCCCUUCCAACGCAACUUCAAACACACGUAUGAGAAAAUGUGUGGAUUUGGGGCUGGGAUGUGGACAUGUGUAAGAAUACAGUAGAUUUAGAUUAAAUAAUUUUAUUUGGGUGCCUUUGGAGGUCUUCCAAUAAUGCCUUUAAUCAUUGUAUUAGAGUCUUGAUUUAUUUCCCUUGGAUUAUACAUUUGAAAUAAGCAAAGUUAGACAUUGGCAUUAUCAGAGUUAAGAGAAAAUGAACUAGGAUGUUUUCCUUGUGUUCUGUUCCUAUGCUCACCAUGACAUAAAAAUGUAGAGUAAUUAGUAUUGACUUACUAUAAUGACAAUUUCUUGUAAUCGAACACUAGGUGUGUUUGAACCAGUUACAGACAGAUAAUCUUGCAUCUUCAAAGAUGUGUGCUAUGUUCCUGUUUGGAAAUUUUUCUUCUCAGCACAAUAGACAGCUCUCCGGUUACAGGGCAGCCAUGCAUUUGGACAGAGCCAAACCAUCAAAUGUUUAAAAAGGACAGAGUGGAAGACACCUGCCAGCACCCCCAUAUGCAUCAGUGAGUCCCUGGACAGCACUUCCAGUAAGUCCAGACUGCCAAAUUCCACAGGCUUAACAACUGAAUUUAUGAUAGUUGGAGAGUCAAUAAUUUCAUCACCCAUGUCCAGCCUGUCCCAUCCAUCCAGGAAACAGAUAAGGAGCCUUUGAAUUCCAAAGAACUCUUGAAGUAAAGAUCGGAUUUCACAGAGAGAAAAAGGUCUGGUGUCCAGUUGGCCAGUGGCCCAAUUUGAAGGAGGAAGGAGGAGUAUGGCUUCUCCCCAUUUGUUUCCAGCACCUGAGGACAUUAAAUGGGUGCAGUUGGCCACCUGCUUAGGUAGGUGGGCUUCAGGUUCCUCCGCAGAGGUCCCUGUCUCUAUCUUGGCUUGAAAGGAAGACAGGCGGUUAUCUCUGAUUGGACCCUGUGGACCUAGGACAGAGUGCCCAAGAGUAGCAGCCAUGAUAGACCAUGGACCCGAGGGUUCGUCUGUUCUGCUGGACACUGAGCCCCCAGGGUGGGAGAGCCUGUCACAAGAGUGAGGAAAGACAGUCCUCCAAACUCCCUAGACUGGAUUUCCUGCCAACCACUAUAAUGGAAGCUGAACUAGACUGGCUUACCUUUAGAAAUAUAAAGAAAUUGACAUUUGUUGCACGUGAAUGCAUCUUGCUUGUAUAUUAGAUUAUUUGAGGGAGUGUAAUAGGCAGAAUGCCCUGCCUUGCUCAAAAGAUGUUUAUUCCUUAAUCUCCAGAAUCCAGGAAUAGUAAAUGUGUUCAACGUCAA